rnacentral:tRNA from 1 species
UCCCCUGUAGCUCAACGGUAGAGCAGAUUCCUGUUAAGAAUAAGGUUGCGCGUUCGAGUCGCGCCGGGGGAGCCA